rnacentral:rRNA from 1 species
CUCGUCUCAAAGAUUAAGCCAUGCAUGUCUAAGUAUAAAUACUUUACUUUAAAACUGCGAACGGCUCAUUAUAUCAGUUAUAAUUUAUUUGAUAAUCCCUUACUACUUGGAUACCCGUAGUAAUUCUAGAGCUAAUACAUGCAUCAUAACCCGACUAUUUUGGAAGGGUUGUAUUUAUUAGGUAAAAACCAACUCCUUUCGAGGAUGCUGUGGUGAUUCAUAAUAACUUUGCGAAUCGCAUGGAUCUAUUCCGGCGAUGGAUCAUUCAAGUUUCUGCCCUAUUAACUUCGGACGGUAUGGUAUUGGCUUACCGUGGUCAUAAUGGGUAACGAAUAGUUAGGGCUAGAUUUCGGAGAGGGAGCCUGAGAAACGGCUACCACAUCCAAGGAAGGCAGCAGGCGCGUAAAUUACCCAAUACUGACACAGUGAGGUAGUGACAAUAAAUAACAAUGGUGGGUUUUUACAAAUCUGCCAAUUGGAAUGAGAACAAUUUAAAUCCCUUAUCGAGUAUCAAUUGGAGGGCAAGUCUGGUGCCAGCAGCCGCGUAAUUCCAGCUCCAAUAGCGUAUAUUAAAGUUGUUGCAGUUAAAAAGCUCGUAGUUGAAAUACUGACAUAGUCGACCGGUCUCACGCAUUGUCGUGAGCACUUGUGUUGUAUUAGGUCAUUCUUGGAUUUUAGCCAGUCUGGCAUUAAGUUGUCGGGUUGGUGAAAACCAUCGUUUACUGUGAAAAAAUUAGAGUGUUCAAAGCAGACUUAUGUCGUUGAAUAGAUUAGCAUGGAAUAAUAAUAUAGGACUUUUGUACUAUUUUGUUGGUUAGGUGUAAAAGUAAUGAUCAAUAGGGACAGUUGGGCGUAUUCGUAUUUCGUUGCUAGAGGUGAAAUUCUUGGAUUUCCGAAAGACGAACUACUGCGAAAGCAUUUACGAAGGAUGUUUUCAUUAAUCAAGAACGAAAGUUAGGGGAUCGAAGAUGAUUAGAUACCAUCGUAGUCUUAACCAUAAACUAUGCCGACUCGGGAUUGGGCGUUGUUUUUUGACUCGUCCAGCACCGUAUGGGAAACCAUUAGUCUUUGGGUUCCGGGGGGAGUAUGGUCGCAAGACUGAAACUUAAAGAAAUUGACGGAAGGGCACCACCAGGAGUGGAGCCGGCGGCUUAAUUUGACUCAACACGGGAAAACUUACCAGGUCCAGACAUAAUGAGGAUUGACAGAUUGAGAGCUCUUUCUUGAUUUUAUGGGUGGUGGUGCAUGGCCGUUCUUAGUUGGUGGAGUGAUUUGUCUGGUUAAUUCCGUUAACGAACGAGACCGCCGCCUGCUAAAUAGUUCCGUGAAUCAUUUUUGAUUGAUGAGAGCUUCUUAGAGGGACGUCCAUUCUACAAGAUGGAGGAAGAUGGCGGCAAUAACAGGUCUGUGAUGCCCUUAGAUGUCCUGGGCCGCACGCGCGCUACACUGAUGCAUUCAACGAGUCUAAAACCUUGGCCGAGAGGCCUGGGUAAUCUUUUUAAUGUGCAUCGUGAUAGGGAUAGAUUAUUGCAAUUAUUAAUCUUGAACGAGGAAUUCCUAGUAAACGUAUAUCAUCAGUAUACAUUGAUUACGUCCCUGCCCUUUGUACACACCGCCCGUCGCACCUACCGAUUGAACGGUCCGAUGAACACCCGAGCGCGGACUUUGUUUCCUUCAUUGGAGAUUAAGACCGUAAACCCGUGUAAAUCUUAUCGUUUAGAGGAAGGUGAAGUCGUAACAAGGUUUCCGUAGGUGAACCUGCAGAAGGAUCAA